rnacentral:rRNA from 1 species
GACGAACGCUGGCGGCGUGCUUAACACAUGCAAGUCGAACGGAAAGGCCCUGCUUUUGUGGGGUGCUCGAGUGGCGAACGGGUGAGUAACACGUGAGUAACCUGCCCUUGACUUUGGGAUAACUUCAGGAAACUGGGGCUAAUACCGGAUAGGAGCUCCUGCUGCAUGGUGGGGGUUGGAAAGUUUCGGCGGUUGGGGAUGGACUCGCGGCUUAUCAGCUUGUUGGUGGGGUAGUGGCUUACCAAGGCUUUGACGGGUAGCCGGCCUGAGAGGGUGACCGGGCACAUUGGGACCGAGAAACCGCCCAGAACCCUUAGGGAGGCAGGAGUGGGGGAUAUUGCACAAAGGGCGGAAGCCUGAAGCAGCAACGCCGCGUGGGGGAAUAAGGCCUUCGGGGUUGAAACCGCUUUCGCCUGGGACGAAGGGUGAGUGACGGUAAUGGGUAAAGAAGCAACGGCUUACUACGUG